AGUGAACGCUGGCGGUAGGCCUAACACAUGCAAGUCGAACGGCAGCACAGUAAGAGCUUGCUCUUACGGGUGGCGAGUGGCGGACGGGUGAGGAAUACAUCGGAAUCUACUUUUUCGUGGGGGAUAACGUAGGGAAACUUACGCUAAUACCGCAUACGACCUACGGGUGAAAGCAGGGGAUCUUCGGACCUUGCGCGAUUGAAUGAGCCGAUGUCGGAUUAGCUAGUUGGCGGGGUAAAGGCCCACCAAGGCGACGAUCCGUAGCUGGUCUGAGAGGAUGAUCAGCCACACUGGAACUGAGACACGGUCCAGACUCCUACGGGAGGCAGCAGUGGGGAAUAUUGGACAAGGGGCGCAAGCCUGAUCCAGCCAUACCGCGGGGGGGAAGAAGGCCUUCGGGUUGUAAAGACCGCUUUGUUGGGAAAGAAAAGCAGCAGGUUAAUACCCCGCUGUUCUGACGGUACCCAAAGAAUAAGCACCGGCUAACUUCGUG
rnacentral:rRNA from 1 species